GACAAGGGGAAGACACCAAAUCCCUGGACUCAGGCCUCGCAUGAUUGAGCGAGAGGAACUCUGCUGUCAGACCCUACAAUGCACUCUUCAGUGGAAGAGGCUCACACAUUCCAAACAUACUCCACCAGGUCAUAUGUUAAAUGACAGGGCUGAGACCUCUCCACAGCACAUCUGAUACUGGGAUCGAUGAAGAUCAGAUGUGCAAAUCACACUGGGCUCUGGAAAGCCCUAGACUGUGUCAUUCAAGAUGUGUGACAUGGAUAAAAAGCUCCCCAUGGUGGAAAGAGGUGCCAUAAAACACCUAGACAAUGAGAGCAAGAUGGGGGAUCCAAAAUGGUGCCCUGGCAUCGGCAAGUGGUGAAACCAGCCAUUUGGCCCUGUGCCCUGUCCUCAGAAGUGCCCCUGCCACCCCAGCAGGUACAUUUGCAGGUGAAGAAUUUCUUUCGUUUUAGUGUCCUGGGAACCAAGUAUUUCCUGUUGGUGGUGUUUCUCUUGCACCAGGUGAAUUUUUGCCUGGCUUACCUGAGACUUAGACCGUCCCAAUUCCAGUCUCCACUGA
rnacentral:lncRNA from 1 species